GCAUCCCGCUCCACCAAGUCGAUAUUGGACAGGGGCAUGGGUCUUUUCCCAGCGGGUUCAUCAUCCCGUUUCACUAAGCCGCUGUGAUGCUUGAUCUUUUAUGAUGGAUUUCCCGAGCGGGUUCUUCUUCCUGCGUUGCCAGUGGUCGCUGUGAACCACGCUCAAUGCUCAACGGUGUCUCUCUCCUGCUCUGAUUCACGCCGUCGUCGUCGUCAGCCCAAGCUUCAGUCUUCGUCGCAAAUCAAGCCGUGACUGCGCCACCGUCUCCUCCAAGACGCGACCAAGCUUCCUCUGUGGCCGUGCUCAGCUCCACCGUAGUGCUCCGUCGUCGUCGUCGGCUCACGGCCUCUCUAUCUCCUGUGGCCGUGCUCAGAAUCUCCGCCGUGGAAGCUCCGGAAUCGCCAUCGGGAGUCGUCGCUUCAGUUUCCUCCGUGAAAGCUUGACCACGAGCUCCAAUGGUGAUCCACUGGCUGUCGUCCUUGAAACCUCCGCUUUCCACCACGAACUCCGCCACGGAUCAUCAUGUUCAGGCUAGCUCAGAUCCUCCGUAGUGACCUCAGUUCGAGCCGUGAAAGCAUGUCCUGAAGCUCCGGAGUCGUCGCUUCUCGCCGUCGCAGCCAUCGUCACGGAGAAGAGAAACAACAAUGGAGAUGUUCUAUCAAUUUGCGACCUUGGUCCCUGGAGUUUUUCUUGUUUACAAUUCAGCCCCAAUACUUCAUAAUUUGCAGCGAUGCCUCUCAAAUCAACCCCUGGACUUUUUAUUGUGCGAUUUAACCCAAGCAAGUAUUCUGAAUUUGUAGCAUUGGUCCCUCGACUUUUGAUGGUUUCCAAAUCAGCCACUAAGUCUUGAAUGCACAAGAACAACCUCACAUUUUGGCUCCAAACUUCCAUUUGUGCAAUCCAACCCCUAUGAUAUGCAAAUGAGUAUGCAAAUGCAACAUAAAGACCUAAAUGCAAUCUAAAAUUAUCAUAUUAAACUUAAAUAUGAAUCUAAAAUUCAUUAAAAUCAUGAGAUAUCAAUGAUUAAUAUAAAUCCAUAAAAUUUUAUAACUAACUAA
rnacentral:lncRNA from 1 species